GCGCCCGUAGCUCAGUUGGAUAGAGCAACGGCCUUCUAAGCCGUGGGUCGCAGGUUCGAGUCCUGCCGGGCGCG
rnacentral:tRNA from 1 species